rnacentral:rRNA from 1 species
UUCCGGUUGAUCCUGCCGGACCUGACUGCUAUCGGAUUGAUACUAAGCCAUGCGAGUCUUUGCAGUAAUGCAAGGCAUACGGCUCAGUAACACGUAGUCAACUUACCCUAUGGACGAGGAUAAUCUCGGGAAACUGAGCAUAAUACUCGAUAGAUCAUAAUGCCUGGAAUGGUUUAUGGUUGAAAUGAUUCGUCGCCAUAGGAUGGGACUGCGGCCUAUCAGCUUGUUGGUGAGGUAAUGGCCCACCAAGGCGAUUACAGGUACGGGCUCUGAGAGGAGAAGCCCGGAGAUGGGUACUGAGACAAGGACCCAGGCCCUAUGGGGCGCAGCAGGCGAGAAAACUUUGCAAUGUGCGAAAGCACGACAAGGUUAAUCCGAGUGAUUUCUGCUAAAGAAAUCUUUUGCAAGUCAUAAAACCACUAGUGAAUAAGGGGUGGGCAAGUUCUGGUGUCAGCCGCCGCGGUAAAACCAGCACCUCAAGUGGUCAGGAGGAUUAUUGGGCCUAAAGCAUCCGUAGCCGGCUCUGUAAGUUUUCGGUUAAAUCCAUGUGCUCAACGCAUGGGCUGCCGAAAAUACUGCAUAGCUAGGGAGUGGGAGAGGUAGACGGUACUCAGUAGGAAGGGGUAAAAUCCUUUGAUCUAUUGAUGACCACCUGUGGCGAAGGCGGUCUACCAGAACACGUUCGACGGUGAGGGAUGAAAGCUGGGGGAGCAAACCGGAUUAGAUACCCGGGUAGUCCCAGCUGUAAACGAUGCAGACUCGAUGAUGCAUUGGCAUAUAGCCAGUGCAGUGUCGCAGGGAAGCCGUUAAGUCUGCCGCCUGGGAAGUACGUACGCAAGUAUGAAACUUAAAGGAAUUGGCGGGGGAGCACCACAAGGGGUGAAGCCUGCGGUUCAAUUGGAGUCAACGCCGGG